CCCGCUCAGAAACUUAAAGGAAUUGACGGGGGCCCGCACAAGCGGUGGAGCAUGUGGUUUAAUUCGAUGAUACGCGAGGAACCUUACCUGGGCUCAAAUGUAUGUUGACGUAUUCUGAAAGGGAUACUUCUUCGGACAAUAUACAAGGUGGUGCAUGGUUGUCGUCAGCUCGUGUCGUGAGAUGUUGGGUUAAGUCCCGCAACGAGCGCAACCCUUGUGUUUAGUUGCAAACAGGUCAAGCUGUGCACUCUAGACAGACUGCCGUGGACAACACGGAGGAAGGUGGGGAUGACGUCAAAUCAUCAUGCCCCUUAUGAUCUGGGCUACACACGUGCUACAAUGGCCGGUACAACGGGCAGCGAAGGAGCGAUCCGGAGCGAAUCCUAAAAAGCCGGUCCCAGUUCGGAUUGCAGGCUGAAACUCGCCUACAUGAAGUUGGAGUUGCUAGUAAUCGCGAAUCAGAAUGUCGCGGUGAAUGCGUUCCCGGGUCUU
rnacentral:rRNA from 1 species